GUAUCACUGUCCAACCAAAGGACGGUGAUUUUAUUGAAGCUAGAUCUGAAUCAAGCUAGACAUGGGUUGUAAUUUCCGAGGUGGUGGUAAGCCUGCAGGAAUGGGGGUGGUAAGCUUGGAGCUGGAGGUGCUCCCGAUUUUGGUGGUAAGGAUGAUAUCCCGAAUAACCCCAACCCGAUGGCAACAUUCAGUGAUCUAGAGGUCUUGUCGGCUCUUCAGUAUGAGAAUGUUGUCGUAAUAAAAACAUCACAAGAAGGCGUUAGGAGAUGGAUAUGAUGGUUUGUUAUUGCUGGUGUGGAUGACGAAUCGGAUGGAUACGAGGACGGCACUAGAUGCUGCGGUAGCGGCAACUUCAUGC